rnacentral:rRNA from 1 species
GGUUAAGCGACUAAGCGUACACGGUGGAUGCCCUGGCAGUCAGAGGCGAUGAAGGGCGUGCUAAUCUGCGAUAAGCGCCGGUAAGGUGAUAUGAACCGUUAUAACCGGCGAUACCCGAAUGGGGAAACCCAGUGUGAUUCGUCACACUAUCAUUAACUGAAUCCAUAGGUUAAUGAGGCGAACCGGGGGAACUGAAACAUCUAAGUACCCCGAGGAAAAGAAAUCAACCGAGAUUCCCCCAGUAGCGGCGAGCGAACGGGGAGGAGCCCAGAGCCUGAAUCAGCAUGUGUGUUAGUGGAAGCGUCUGGAAAGGUGCGCGAUACAGGGUGACAGCCCCGUACACAAAAGCGCAUGUGCUGUGAGCUCGAUGAGUAGGGCGGGACACGUGGUAUCCUGUCUGAAUAUGGGGGGACCAUCCUCCAAGGCUAAAUACUCCUGACUGACCGAUAGUGAACCAGUACCGUGAGGGAAAGGCGAAAAGAACCCCGGCGAGGGGAGUGAAAAAGAACCUGAAACCGUGUACGUACAAGCAGUGGGAGCACAGGUUUACCUGUGUGACUGCGUACCUUUUGUAUAAUGGGUCAGCGACUUAUAUUCUGUAGCAAGGUUAACCGUAUAGGGGAGCCGUAGGGAAACCGAGUCUUAACCGGGCGUUAAGUUGCAGGGUAUAGACCCGAAACCCGGUGAUCUAGCCAUGGGCAGGUUGAAGGUUGGGUAACACUAACUGGAGGACCGAACCGACUAAUGUUGAAAAAUUAGCGGAUGACCUGUGGCUGGGGGUGAAAGGCCAAUCAAACCGGGAGAUAGCUGGUUCUCCCCGAAAGCUAUUUAGGUAGCGCCUCGUGAAUUCAUCUCCGGGGGUAGAGCACUGUUUCGGCUAGGGGGCCAUCCCGGCUUACCAACCCGAUGCAAACUGCGAAUACCGGAGAAUGUUAUCACGGGAGACACACGGCGGGUGCUAACGUCCGUCGUGAAGAGGGAAACAACCCAGACCGCCAGCUAAGGUCCCAAAGUCAUGGUUAAGUGGGAAACGAUGUGGGAAGGCCCAGACAGCCAGGAUGUUGGCUUAGAAGCAGCCAUCAUUUAAAGAAAGCGUAAUAGCUCACUGGUCGAGUCGGCCUGCGCGGAAGAUGUAACGGGGCUAAACCAUGCACCGAAGCUGCGGCAGCGAACGUAUCACCCAAGACAACUUUACGGAGUUGACGAUUGACGGAGCGAAGCGACGUCAAAGCGUUCAUUAAAGUCGAGUUGGCUUAGGGAUACGUUCGUUGGGUAGGGGAGCGUUCUGUAAGCCUGUGAAGGUGUGUCGUGAGGCAUGCUGGAGGUAUCAGAAGUGCGAAUGCUGACAUAAGUAACGAUAAAGCGGGUGAAAAGCCCGCUCGCCGGAAGACCAAGGGUUCCUGUCCAACGUUAAUCGGGGCAGGGUGAGUCGACCCCUAAGGCGAGGCCGAAAGGCGUAGUCGAUGGGAAACGGGUUAAUAUUCCCGUACUUGGUGUUACUGCGAAGGGGGGACGGAGAAGGCUAUGUUGGCCGGGCGACGGUUGUCCCGGUUUAAGCGUGUAGGUGUGUGUUCCAGGUAAAUCCGGUUCACUUUAACACUGAGGCGUGACGACGAGGCACUACGGUGCUGAAGCAACAAAUGCCCUGCUUCCAGGAAAAGCCUCUAAGCAUCAGGUAACACGAAAUCGUACCCCAAACCGACACAGGUGGUCAGGUAGAGAAUACCAAGGCGCUUGAGAGAACUCGGGUGAAGGAACUAGGCAAAAUGGUGCCGUAACUUCGGGAGAAGGCACGCUGACACGUAGGUGAAGUGAUUUACUCAUGGAGCUGAAGUCAGUCGAAGAUACCAGCUGGCUGCAACUGUUUAUUAAAAACACAGCACUGUGCAAACACGAAAGUGGACGUAUACGGUGUGACGCCUGCCCGGUGCCGGAAGGUUAAUUGAUGGGGUCAGCGCAAGCGAAGCUCCUGAUCGAAGCCCCGGUAAACGGCGGCCGUAACUAUAACGGUCCUAAGGUAGCGAAAUUCCUUGUCGGGUAAGUUCCGACCUGCACGAAUGGCGUAAUGAUGGCCAGGCUGUCUCCACCCGAGACUCAGUGAAAUUGAACUCGCUGUGAAGAUGCAGUGUACCCGCGGCAAGACGGAAAGACCCCGUGAACCUUUACUAUAGCUUGACACUGAACAUUGAGCCUUGAUGUGUAGGAUAGGUGGGAGGCUUUGAAGUGUGGACGCCAGUCUGCAUGGAGCCGACCUUGAAAUACCACCCUUUAAUGUUUGAUGUUCUAACGUGGACCCGUAAUCCGGGUUGCGGACAGUGUCUGGUGGGUAGUUUGACUGGGGCGGUCUCCUCCUAAAGAGUAACGGAGGAGCACGAAGGUUGGCUAAUCCUGGUCGGACAUCAGGAGGUUAGUGCAAUGGCAUAAGCCAGCUUGACUGCGAGCGUGACGGCGCGAGCAGGUGCGAAAGCAGGUCAUAGUGAUCCGGUGGUUCUGAAUGGAAGGGCCAUCGCUCAACGGAUAAAAGGUACUCCGGGGAUAACAGGCUGAUACCGCCCAAGAGUUCAUAUCGACGGCGGUGUUUGGCACCUCGAUGUCGGCUCAUCACAUCCUGGGGCUGAAGUAGGUCCCAAGGGUAUGGCUGUUCGCCAUUUAAAGUGGUACGCGAGCUGGGUUUAGAACGUCGUGAGACAGUUCGGUCCCUAUCUGCCGUGGGCGCUGGAGAACUGAGGGGGGCUGCUCCUAGUACGAGAGGACCGGAGUGGACGCAUCACUGGUGUUCGGGUUGUCAUGCCAAUGGCACUGCCCGGUAGCUAAAUGCGGAAGAGAUAAGUGCUGAAAGCAUCUAAGCACGAAACUUGCCCCGAGAUGAGUUCUCCCUGAGACUUAGAGUCUCCUGAAGGAACGUUGAAGACGACGACGUUGAUAGGCCGGGUGUGUAAGCGCAGCGAUGCGUUGAGCUAACCGGUACUAAUGAACCGUGAGGCUUAACCUUAC